rnacentral:rRNA from 1 species
AUUGAACGCUGGCGGCAUGCUUUACACAUGCAAGUCGAACGGUAACAGGCCGCAAGGUGCUGACGAGUGGCGAACGGGUGAGUAAUGCAUCGGAACGUGCCCAGUCGUGGGGGAUAACGCAGCGAAAGCUGCGCUAAUACCGCAUACGAUCUAUGGGUGAAAGCGGGGGACCGUAAGGCCUCGCGCGAUUGGAGCGGCCGAUGUCAGAUUAGGUAGUUGGUGGGGUAAAGGCUCACCAAGCCAACGAUCUGUAGCUGGUCUGAGAGGACGACCAGCCACACUGGGACUGAGACACGGCCCAGACUCCUACGGGAGGCAGCAGUGGGGAAUUUUGGACAAUGGGCGCAAGCCUGAUCCAGCAAUGCCGCGUGCAGGAAGAAGGCCUUCGGGUUGUAAACUGCUUUUGUACGGAACGAAACGGCUCUGGUUAAUACCCGGGGCUAAUGACGGUACCGUAAGAAUAAGCACCGGCUAACUACGUGCCAGCCGCCGCCGUAAUAC